UACAUAGGCUUCAAGCGUUGUCCGGAUUUAUUGGGCGUAAAGAGUUCGUAGGCGGUCAAGUAAGUCGGGUGUGAAAAUUCUGGGCUUAACCCAGAGACGCCACCCGAUACUACUUAACUAGAGUUCGGUAGGGGAGAGGAGAAUUCCUAGUGUAGCGGUGAAAUGCGCAGAUAUUAGGAGGAACACCGGUGGCGAAGGCGCCUCUCUGGACCGAUACUGACGCUGAGGAACGAAAGCAUGGGUAGCAAACAGG
rnacentral:rRNA from 1 species